UGGUUAGGAGAUAGUUCUAAUUGGUAAGGUUCCGGCUAGUCAAGGGUUUACUGGCUAUAUUUUCCAGUGUAGGACUGAAGCUGUUCUAGAUAAAUUACUGCUGCUACCACGAAAUAGGCAUUUUUCCGAUCAGAAUGAAGCAUGCCUAAAUCAGGAUAAGAUUUUUACUGUGGAUGCUUCUGUGUCUUCAGAUGCGCCUUUUGAUCCCAGAGGGAUUAAAUCACAAAGUAUCAACAAGUUAAAGAAAUACUGGAAAGAAGUGAUGACAUCUGUUACACCAUGCGGCCAUUACCAGGAGGUCCCUGAGGAAGGUCUAAAAACUCAGGUCUCCUAUGCCGUAACAGGAUGUUACCCAGAGCUUUCCAAUACAAAUAAGAGAAAGUCAAGUUCUUAGAUGAGGACCAGGCAGGGAUGGAAAUCAGGAAGAAGCCGGGAAGGAGCGGAUGACCCAAGGGAAGACAGAGUUCCAGAGCUGAACUGUGUGUCCAGAUGCUCGUAGGAAAACAAUCCGCUAAGAGUCUAGAAGACAACAGCAUUCCCCAGAGCCA